AGAUGUAUGUUAAAUG
rnacentral:tRNA from 1 species